rnacentral:lncRNA from 1 species
UCGUCAAGUUUCGGGCGAAAACGAGUUAAAACGGAAAUUCUACGCGAUUUCCAAGUUUCACUUAAAGUGAAUAGUAACUCGAUUUUCCGGAGAAGCCACGGUGGGAAGUUGGCUUCUGGCUCGUACCGGACUCUGUUCAUAGCAGUCCAAUAGCUCGUUUCGACCGGGUCAGCUAUUCUGGAGCUAAUGACGCUGACGGAUUUUGAGUUUGACGCACGGAUUUCGAGAAAAUCCAAAAAUACAUGUUUUAUAUGUAUUUAUGUGUGUGUUUCCUUCUAUUCGAAGAAGGUUGGAUUUUGUCGUGAAUCCGUGGUCGAUCAAGACGAAACGAAAUCGCAGCUUUGUUGUCUCCGUCGUGCUGAUCGCACUGGUGCAAUCCGUUCGUAAAUCUGACGGACGGAUCUGCGGAGAUCGCGCGUUGAUCGAGGAGAGGUCGGUAGUGGCAAAAUGGUAUUUUCGCGAAAGUCGCGAUAUUUUAUGUACCGUUUUGCGUGAGAUCGCACGUGGAGGGUCGUUCUUGCGUUUUAGUCGUAUUGUGAGGAUCUCGGAUUGAAAUUCUGAUGUUUGAGGGGCUUUCUUGCGAGUUGUACCUUGUUUAUAUAGUGGUUCCUAGGGUUUUGACCCCCUAACCCUAACCCUAGCCAGCCCCCAGCUACCCUAGUCGCCCCAGCCACCUUCACCCUUCCCCCUGCCCUUGCUGCACCAGCCCCGGCCGCCGCCGGCUGAGCCCCGGCCGCCGCCGAGCCAUCACCCAUCUUCCUUCCCUCUCUUUCUCUCUCCCUCUCUCCUCUCGGGUUGUGUGAAGGCCCGGGGCUGCGUCUCCUGCAGACCCUCCCCCUGGACUUCACCGUGCUCCGGCAACUCAUUCCCGCCGACCGCCGCCGUCGCCUGCGCUGCCGCAGCCGCUCCAGCCGCCUGCAGUAGCCCAGGCCGAGCUCAAGCCGAGCUGGGUUGCAGCCGCUGCCCGCGCGCCGCCACCGCCUGAGAUCGCUCCCGCCGACAUCCCCCGUGCCCGGGCGCUCUUUCCCGCUGGUCGCCGCCGCCCCGACGCGCC